GUGUAUCUCACUUCCCAUGUUGGAUCAUUCUCUCCCUUUUUUAUUCUAUCAGCUAGUAUUUGCAGACACUAGUCUUGUUCAUGUGAUCCCUUUGGUUCUUAGUCCUAUCAUUAUGAUCAAUUGUGAACAGAAAUUGAUCACUGGGACUAGUGGGAUAGCAUUGGUACAUGCCACCUUGAUGGGAUUGAACUGGAAAACCCUGGUAUGUUUCUAAAUCUACCGUUUGAGAUCUUCCCAUGUUUCCACAUUUCCUGUUUUCAAUAUUGGCCCUGAUGGUCUCACUCGGCAGGUGGCAAUGUCUCUUCAUUCUCUGGUAGAGUUACAGACACUGAAAGAGAGACAGAUACAAAGGUCUUCCAUCCGGUGGUUCACCCCCCAAAUGUCUACAACGGCCUGCUCUAAGCCGAUCCGAAGCCAGGAGAUUCUUCCUGGUCUCCCAGGUGGGUGCAGGGGCCCAAGCACUUGGGCCAUCCUCCACUGCCUUCCCGGGCCACAGCAGAGAGCUGGACUGGAAGAGUAGCAACCGGGACUAGAACUUGGUGCCAUAUAGGAUGCUGGUGCUGCAGGUGGAGGAUUAACCUAGCGUACCACUGUGCCAGCCCCUCAAUUGGUUUUUACAACAAUGUGGUAUAUAAAAUCAUGAUCAGUUUACAAUGCACUUCUUUUUUUAAGAUUUAUUUAUUUAUUUGACAGAGUUGCACAGAGAGAGAAGGAGUGGCAGAGAGAGAGAGGUCUUCCAUUCACUGGCUCACUCCUCAAUUGGCCACAGGGGCUGGAGCCAUGCUGAUCUGAUGCCAGGAGCCAGAAGCUUCUGCCGGGUCUCCCACCCUGGUGCAGUGGCCCAAGGACUUGAGCCAUCUUCUACUGCUUUCCCAGGCCAUAGCAGAGAGCUGGAUCGGAAGUGGAACAGCCGAGACUUGAGCCGGUGCCCAUAUGGGAUGCUGGCAUUGCAGAUGGCGGCCCUACCAGCUACACCACAAUACCAGCCACCAAUAUACUUCUUUAAUGCUUAAUAAUAUCAUAGUUUAACUUGUAUUAGAAAAAAUUCAUGACAUACCAUAUAGUUUUGCUUAUAAAAGUAGCUAUUAGCAUAUAUUAUGAGCGUACUUUGAUCCAUAUUGAGAGAAAAAUUCAGUUUCAUCUAGUGAACAUACCAAGUUAAUGCUCAUAAAUUUGUAAUUCCAGAAAUAUGCAAGAUAUUACAGCCUCCCGAAAUAUACUUAAGUUCUUGACAUCGGUAACCUAAUAUUUUCCCAAAAGAUAGAAAUUAUAUUCACAAAACUUUGUUAGCCUGAAGGUAUCCAUGAAAGUGUCCAAGAUAAAGCAACUUUCCACUAACUUUUCAUAUGAUUACAAAAAUCUGAAUAACAAAACUUAUUUGAAUGUGAGUCAUUUCAAAUGUGUUGAAAUAAUGCAUAUUCCUUGCAGGUCAAUUUUCUCUACCUCAGUGGAUAUUUUAUGACAGUGUAACCAACAUAUAGAGUCUUCGCCUGAGUAACUAUUUGACAUAAUGGCAAUUAUGAAACUUUAUAAAAUGUAAAAAUAAACCAUUGUGAAGGAAUUCCAUAUGAUUGAAACCUGAGGAUAUUAGUAACAAAACAUGGAGGGAAUGGAGCAAAAUUUACCAUCAGAUGGCAAUCAAAGGAUCCAUUGGAAAGAUCUGAAAAAUUAUCAAUAAUGAGAACAAAAAUUCAAGAUGAGAGACAGAAAAAUACAAGAGAUCCCACCUGAGGGUCCACGCUCCAAAUGACUCUGAUAAUUAGAGCUUUGCCAGAGUUGAAGCUGGGAGUCAGAAGCUCAAUCCAUGUCUCCAGCAUGGAUGUAAGCGACCCGACUACUUGAGCCAUCAGCUGCUGCCUUCCAGGAUCCGCCUUAACAGAAAGCUGAAGUCAGGAGUCAGAACCAGAUAUGAAACCCAGGAACUUCAAUAUGAGACACGGACAUCUACGACACUAAACGCCCAGUCCAUCAUAAGUUAUUUUGAAAGGAUAGUAAUAUUGUAACUAUUUUCUAAUUGACAGUUUGUUCUUAAAUGAUUGAACAAUAACUGAACAAAAUGAAUACAUCUUUUAUGAAGAUUAAGCAAGCAGUAGAGUAACAUUUGUAACAGAUUUAUGAUAGUAAGACAGGACAUUUCAGUGAAUUUGUAGCUCAGUCCUGAUAAUAGCAGUCGGAAAAUAUAAGAACAUAUAUUAAUACAUGCACUGUACACACAUUUAUAACUGGGUUGCUUCAAAACUACUGAAAAUGAAUGGAGAAGCAAGGAGUUGAAGCUGAAAUUUAAGUCUGCUUUUCAAAGGAAGCUGAACACUCUUAGCAUCUGUGUGCCAUCUUCCUAGGCUCUCAUAACUCACCUCUCCACUCCCUGCUUUGGCUUUGUCAGUGAUUUUAUUAUAUGUCUAUUCCUUUUAUAAACAUUGUAUCUGCUCAGAAAUUUUGCAUCUUACUUCUUGUCAUGAUAUUUGCUUCAUUAUUAUUAUGCAUCUUGAUCCAUGUUUUCUGUGCUUAAUGUCAGCACUAGAAGUCGCAGACUGCUUUACACUGUAGAAAACAAUUUCUUACAUAUAAUAUGCUGACAUAGACAUAAGACUUUGUCACAAAAGAACAAUUCACUGUGUAUCUUUUUUUUUUUUCUCUUCUCUGUGCACCACUUUCACAUUUAUUAGUUAUAAGAAAAGUAAUAGGGGCGGGCACCACGGCUCACUAGGCUAAUCCUCCGCCUUGCGGCGCCGGCACACCAGGUUCUAGUCCCGGUCGGGGCGCCGGAUUCUGUCCCGGUUGCCCCUCUUCCAGGCCAACUCUCUGCUGUGGCCCGGGAGUGCAGUGGAGGAUGGGCCAGGUCCUUGGGCCCUGCACCCCAUGGGAGACCAGGAGAAGCACCUGGCUCCUGCCUUCGGAUCAGCGUGGUGCACUGGCCACAGCGCGCCAGCCGCGGCGGCCAUUGGAGGGUGCCAUUCCAAAGGCAAUGGAAGACCUUUCUCUCUGUCUCUUUCUCUCACUGUCCACUCUGCCUGUCAAAUAAAUAAAUAAAUAAAUAGCUGUUUUUUUUUUAAAAAAAAGAAAAGUAAUAGGGAGAAAAUUUAAGUGACAUGCUAUGAGUAUCCAAAUAGAGAAUGGAAAGCCCAGAGUCUGAAGCAAUCCCAUGCGCGUUCCCCUCUUCUCUUUGUUGCUUUCACUGUCUUUCCAAUAUCUUGAAACUAUAACCCAGAGAUUGAGAGGUUUCUACCAAAAAUAUGAAAGCUCAUUUUGAUAUUGGCCUUAAGUACCACUAUUCUUUGUGUAUGCCUAUAAUAGAUGCCAGGAUAGUUGAUUGAUAUAGAAAGCUAUCCGUGGCUAUUCGGACAAUUUUACCUGCAUAUAAAAGUGCCUGAAGCAGGAGCUUCCAGAGGGUAAUUAUAUAUCUAGAGCGGGAAGACUUUUAAAUUGGUAAAUCAAGAAGAAAAAACUAAAUUGACAUUAGUUGCACAUAAUAUAUUUCCAUUCCUGGUAAAUGCAAAGGACCACUUAAAAACUAAUAAAACUAAUGAGUACUUAGAGAAAUCACUAGAUACAAGGAAACAUACCAAAAUAAUAGCUUCUUCAAAUGCCAGCUAUAAUCAGGAACACAAACACACACACACACACACACACACAUACACAUUUAAAGCCCAAAAAGCAAUCCUCCUAAAUAUUUAGAAAUAAACUUUGUAAAUUACAGAGAAUUGUAAUUGAACAGAAUAAAAGAGUAGUAAAAAUGCUUUUGAAACAAGAUGCUAUAUUCCCAGGUAGCUUGAAUCAAUAGUAUAAAUUUGUCAGCCAUCCUAAAAUAAGCAUGCAAUUUAAUCUCCCUCAAAAUUGUAAUUUGAAGCAGAUAUGCUGACAUGGAAAUGUCAGCCAACAUAUGUUAUUGGUCGCAGAAAAGCAAGAUGUAGAACAUUUGAUACUUUCUUACUCAUCUAAGAUUAGAAAUACAUAAUAAAUAGAAUGUAAAUGUAUUUUUCUUCUUUUCUCUGUGUAUGAAUUUACAAAAGCAAAGAAUAAUGCACAACAAACUAUUAACACUGGUGACUGCUAGGACACAGGUGAGCAAGACAAUAGAAUUUUUAUGUUAUAUAUUUUGUAUUGCUUGAAAUAUUUAUGAUGACCAUGUAUUGCUUUCGAAAUAAGAAAAUGAAUAAAUCUAUAAAAAUGAACGCACAUCAUAUUAGGGGGCAUAAAGGCAUCCUUUUUGGUAACUUCUAGUUGAUUUACAGAACAGUUCUAAGAAGAGUACUCACUAAUAUGUGGAACAUAAAAAGUCAAAUUCCUAGAAAAAGAGUUAAAGGACAGGGUUUGUGAAGAUGCUGAUCAAAUGACACAAAACUCCCAUUAGAUAGGAGGAGCAAGUUAAAAAACUCUAU